CCUAAUGGUAAUGGGGUGUGUGUGUCCCAUUAGCCUGACGGUACACACACACACGCGCACAGCUACUACUACUCCUAUCUACUCCUGCCGCAAUCUGCAUCUGCAUGCCACUUUUCUUUUUUUUCUUCUUCUUUUCCUUACCAAAGGAAAAGGGGAUGCUGGGGUUAAUUGCACGACAGCGACAGGUGAGGAGAGGCAACCACAGCACAGGGCACA
rnacentral:lncRNA from 1 species